UACGUAGGGGGCAAGCGUUGUCCGGAAUCAUUGGGCGUAAAGAGCGCGUAGGCGGCCCUGUAAGUCCGCUGUGAAAGUCAAGGGCUCAACCCUUGGAUGCCGGUGGAUACUGCAGGGCUAGAGUCCGGAAGAGGCGAGUGGAAUUCCUGGUGUAGCGGUGAAAUGCGCAGAUAGUCAGGAGGAACACCGAUGGCGAAGGCAGCUCGCUGGGACGGUACUGACGCUCAUGCACGAAA
rnacentral:rRNA from 1 species